rnacentral:rRNA from 1 species
AUUGAACGCUGGCGGAAUGCUUUACACAUGCCAGUCGAGCGGCAGCACGGGGGCAACCCUGGUGGCGAGCGGCGAACGGGUGAGUAACACAUCGGAACAUGCCCAGUCGUGGGGGAUAACACUUCGAAAGAAGUGCUAAUACCGCAUACGUCCUGAGGGAGAAAGCGGGGGAUCGCAAGACCUCGCGCGAUUGGAGUGGCCGAUGUCAGAUUAGCUAGUUGGUGGGGUAAAGGCCUACCAAGGCAACGAUCUGUAGCUGGUCUGAGAGGAUGAUCAGCCACACUGGGACUGAGACACGGCCCAGACUCCUACGGGAGGCAGCAGUGGGGAAUUUUGGACAAUGGGGGCAACCCUGAUCCAGCCAUUCCGCGUGAGUGAAGAAGGCCUUCGGGUUGUAAAGCUCUUUCGGCAGGAACGAAACGGUGAGCUCUAACAUAGCUUGCUAAUGACGGUACCUGAAGAAGAAGCGCCGGCUAACUACGUG